CUAGCCCUCGUUACUCACUCACCCACUGCCAGCCCCUCUCCCCCAUAUACAUACAACACAACCUUAGCAAACCAAAAAGGAAAGAAAAGAAAACGGGGAUUAAGGGAGACGAGAGAAAGAAGGUUGCGAUCAGAGAGGAGAGAGUGCUGCGAGCCAGGACGACGCGAGGAAGGAGAGGAGCCGUCGCGCUCGGCCGCUGCCAGCUUCGUCGCAUCCUGCGCCGCGCCAUCGCCGCCCAGACCGCGUCCGUUCCGUUCAGCCACCGCCGCUGCCAUCGUGUGGUGAGAGGGAGAAGCUGAGAAAGGCUCAGCCGCGAGAACCAGAGGCGCGUGAGAGAGGGAAGACGCGAUCGACAAAGGGAAAGGAAAAGGGUUUCACCGCCGCGGUGUCCUGCCUCCACUGCUGCUUCCGAUCGGAGCCCUAGCCACCGGAGCCCCUACCGUCACCAUUGCAUGUGGAAAGAGGAGAUGACGUUGCCGAUUCUGAUUUUGCCCAAGUCCCUCAUCGUCAUUGGAAUCACGAACCAGAGGCGGAAGGAGGCGUUCCUCCAUCACAAGCCAGCCACCAAGCUAUGACCAAAUUGGAGACGUUGUUUCUAUUACCUUCCGUUUCGAGUUAUUAUUGUCAUUGUUCGGCGUUGCCACCCUUGUCUAGAGCUAUUGAAUAUUUCUGCUGCGAGAAUAUUACUAGAAUCGUUGCUGCUGCCACGAAUUGGGGA